rnacentral:rRNA from 1 species
UAAUACGGAGGGGGCAAGCGUUGUUCGGAAUCAUUGGGCGUAAAGAGUAUGUAGGCGGCUAUUUAAGUCAGACGUGUAAGCCCACGGCUCAACCGUGGAAUUGCGUUUGAAACUAUUUAGCUUGAGUGCAGGAGAGGAAGGCGGAAUUCCCAGUGUAGCGGUGAAAUGCAUUGAUAUUGGGAAGAACACCGGUGGCGAAGGCGGCCUUCUGGUCUGACACUGACGCUGAGAUACGAAAGCCAGGGGAGCGAACGGGAUUAGAUACCCCGGUAGUCCUGGCCGUAAACGAUGGGCACUAGGUGCGGGAGGUAUUGAUCCCUUCCGUGUCGCAGCUAACGCAUUAAGUGCCCCGCCUGGGGAGUACGGUCGCAAGGCUG